rnacentral:lncRNA from 1 species
GCUCUGCAUUCACAAGCGCUGCCUGGUGACUGCCCAGUCCUUGGCUCCCGGCCCCCGCUGCUGUGCCACCCCAUGCCCCCUGGAUGCAGCUGCAGGAUCCCGGUUCCCUCCUGGAGUAAGCUGUCGGCGCAGCUCUGGUGGUGAAGGCUGCUUUGGCUUCCUGCUGGGCCAGGACCGCCUGCGGCUGCACAGCACUCAUGCUAUCCUCCGAUGUGCCGCAUCAGCCGGUGUGUUGGAGGUCGGUGAAGAUGCUGGACUCGGCAUGGCACAAGCUGGACUUGCAGCAGUUCAAGGCCAGCCACUGGGGUGCGAGUGUGGUGGACCACCCCAGGGCUGGCACCCCGCAGCGCAGGGAUCCCAGUGACUGCGGGGCUCUGGCUCCCAUCGCUCCCCUGGACCCUGAAGGUUGCUGCUCUGCAGCUCCUGCGGUUCUUGUGAGACCCACAAGUGCUGCACUACCUUCAUAGAAGACACCAGUUUUUCGGAGAGCGGCAGCUGCAGUGCUGUGGGCGCUGGUGGGAAGGGCAACACGGCCACAGAGACGUGCGCCUGCACCCUUCUCCGUGCACCUCGCAGCCCCUUCAGUAUCACACCCAGCACGGGAAUCCCUGCUCAGCAACCCAGCAGCCGGCACCUCGGCUCCAGCGCAAGAGGCGGUGAAGCUCCAGGGACUAAGCCAGAGCCCAGCCGCCCGCACACGAUGCUCUUCGGGCUGUACGCAUGUCACUCCCCCCACAAGGCAGGGACGGGCACCCAGCCGGAUGGACACGGCCAUACCUGACUACAGCAGAUGGGGAGCAGAGCGGCCAAGACGGCUGCGGGGCCCUUCGUGGUGCUGCAGGACGUUGGCACGGUGAGCAGGGCUGGAGCUGGGUGGCUGCAGCAGGGCUCUGCUCUGCGCAGUGCUGAGCCCCUGCUGCGCUGCAGCUUUUGUCCCCCAGCUGCUGGGUGGGUGCAGGAUUUCAAAGAGCGAGUGCAUCAUACCAAGAAAAUCAAGUCAGGAUCCCCAAAUUUUGCUGAGCUGUGGAAGCCAGGGCUGGGGGUACAACGCCACAACUGCAACCCACAGCGUGGUCACCAAGAAGAAGAGGGAGAUACGAGCAGACCUGAAGCACUUCUGGGUGCAGGCACUCCUGCAGCUAUCCAGAGCAGAAAAGCUGCUCUCCCACCGCUGUGAAGGAAGUGAAAACACAGAGAUGGUGCAGAACACGUCAAAAUGUUUGUUGAGGACUCAGGAGCUCUGGUGCCUAAAUAAAUCUCUUGCACUAGGAAAUUAGGGAUUUUGU